rnacentral:rRNA from 1 species
UGGGGAAUAUUGCACAAUGGAGGGAACUCUGAUGCAGCGACGCCGCGUGAGUGAUGAAGGAAUUCGUUUCGUAAAACUCUGUUCUAUGGGAAGAAAAGGACUGUACCAUAGGAGAAAGCUCCGGCUAAUACGUGCCAGCAGCCGCGGUAAUACGUAUGGAGCGAGCGUUGUCCGGAAUUAUUGGGCGUAAAGGGUGCGCAGGCGGCUUUACAAGUUGGAUGUGAAAUAUUGUGGCUCAACCACAAACGUGCAUCCAAAACUGCAAAGCUUGAGUUAAGGAGAGGUAAGUGGAAUUCCUGGUGUAGCGGUGGAAUGCGUAGAUAUCAGGAGGAAUACCGGUGGCGAAGGCGACUUACUGGACUUAAACUGACGCUCAGGCACGAAAGCGUGGGGAGCAAACAGG